rnacentral:tRNA from 1 species
GUCAGGAUGGCCGAGUGGUCUAAGGCGCCAGACUCAAGAUUAUCAAUCUUUAUAGCGAGUGUUCUGGUCCACGUUUGUGGGCGUGGGUUCAAAUCCCACUUCUGAUA